ACUUAGAAUUCCAUAAAAGCUUAAUGUACUUACGGUAGCAGUAAAGAAAAUGCCCCCAAAGGGAGUCGCACAAUUAGGAGGUGUGGCCUUCUUGGAGUAGGUUUGAUCUUGUUGGAGGAAGUGUGUUGCUAUGGAGGUGGGCUUUGAGAUCUCAUUUAUGCUCAGGUCACACCCACUGAGAAAGAUCACUAGUCAAGAUGUAAGAACUCUCAGCUCUUUCUCUAACACCAUGCCUGCCUGCAUGCUGCCAUGCUUCCUACCAUGAUGAUAAUGGACUAAACUUCUGAACUAUACAAUACAAACAAGAAGCUAGGCAUAGUGGGGCAUGCCUGCAUUGGCAGCUCUCAGGACACUGCGGUGGGUCAAUUUCAAGUUGAAG
rnacentral:lncRNA from 1 species